GACGAACGCUGGCGGCGUGCCUAAUGCAUGCAAGUAGAACGCUGAAGGAGGAGCUUGCUCCUCCGGAUGAGUUGCGAACGGGUGAGUAACGCGUAGGUAACCUGCCUGGUAGCGGGGGAUAACUAUUGGAAACGAUAGCUAAUACCGCAUAACAGUAGAUGUUGCAUGACAUUUGCUUAAAAGGUGCAAUUGCAUCACUACCAGAUGGACCUGCGUUGUAUUAGCUAGUUGGUGAGGUAACGGCUCACCAAGGCGACGAUACAUAGCCGACCUGAGAGGGUGAUCGGCCACACUGGGACUGAGACACGGCCCAGACUCCUACGGGAGGCAGCAGUAGGGAAUCUUCGGCAAUGGACGGAAGUCUGACCGAGCAACGCCGCGUGAGUGAAGAAGGUUUUCGGAUCGUAAAGCUCUGUUGUAAGAGAAGAACGAGUGUGAGAGUGGAAAGUUCACACUGUGACGGUAUCUUACCAGAAAGGGACGGCUAACUACGUG
rnacentral:rRNA from 1 species